UACGUAGGUGGCAAGCGUUGUCCGGAUUUCCUGGGCGUAAAGAGCGCGCAGGCGGUCGUUCAAGUCGCGUGUGAAAGCCCCCGGCUCAACUGGGGAGGGUCACGCGAUACUGAUCGACUCGAAGGCAGGAGAGGGUAGUGGAAUUCCCGGUGUAGUGGUGAAAUGCGUAGAUAUCUGGAGGAACACCGGUGGCGAAGGCGGCAUCCUGGACCGGCAUUGACGCUGAGGCGCGAAAGCCAGGGGAGCAAACGGG
rnacentral:rRNA from 1 species